rnacentral:rRNA from 1 species
AUUGAACGCUGGCGGCAUGCCUUACACAUGCAAGUCGAACGGCAGCACGGGAGCAAUCCUGGUGGCGAGUGGCGAACGGGUGAGUAAUAUAUCGGAACGUGCCCAGUCGUGGGGAUAACGUAGCGAAAGCUACGCUAAUACCGCAUACGAUCUAUGGAUGAAAGCGGGGGAUCGCAAGACCUCGCGCGAUUGGAGCGGCCGAUAUCAGAUUAGGUAGUUGGUGAGGUAAAGGCUCACCAAGCCGACGAUCUGUAGCUGGUCUGAGAGGACGACCAGCCACACUGGGACUGAGACACGGCCCAGACUCCUACGGGAGGCAGCAGUGGGGAAUUUUGGGACAAUGGGNGCAAGCCUGAUCCAGCAAUGCCGCGUGCAGGAUGAAGGCUUCGGGUUGUAACUAGUCUUUG